UCCCUGGCAGUCCAGUGGUUAGGAUUCUGCCCUUUCAAAGCUGGGGCCUGGGUUUAAUACCCUGUCAGGGAA
rnacentral:tRNA from 1 species